CAUCCAUGGGAGGGCCAAAGAGAGACACCAAGACAGAUUAGGGAUGGGGGACAAAGAGACCCAAGUCUCUUUGAUAACCUGCCAGGGCCCAGAUUGGAGCCCCUGAAGGAAGAGAAUGUUGUGAAUGCCUAGCGCAGUUGUGUGCUCUCUCUCUCUCUCUUUUUUUUUGAUGUGGUUGAUGCUGGGAAGUCAUGGGAGGCAUUUGGAAGACAUAGUGAGGGUCAACUGCCCUUUACCCAGGAGGAGAAAGGGCAGAGACGCCAUCCUCUGCCACUCGUUUUUAAAGCAUUUGCAGAUUUUCAUUUUUGCAGGACUUUCCUUUCAGAGAGAAGUGGCACUUGAGACCACUUGCCACCUGUUGAGGCUCUUCUCUGCUCACUCCAACAGGCUUCCUGGAGAGGUCUUGGCUAAUGCAAUCUGGGCCUUGGGAUAGAUCUGCAGCUAGAGUUGGUGCUGAAUCUUCCUGUGCUUGGGAGGCUCACCACUCCCAAAGAUGGGGAGCCAGGAGUGCCAUGCAUCUCCACAUUAGCUCACUUCCUUUGAGGCUGAAAUCAAGAGAGAGACUUUGGUCCAAAGACUUUUUUUUGUAACCUUCUUGGGCUCCAUUCUUCACAUUUGCUUCCGAGUCAAGGAGAAGGAGCACAGACCUGAGGGAUGGAGUGAAUUCUAAUCCAAGCUCUGAAACUGACCAGCUGGGGCCUGAAAGCAAGACUGUGACCUCAGUCUGCACCACUUCCCCUCCCAUCAGUAAAGUGAGAGGAUCCAUUGUGCUACCUUCUGCAGUCCCUUUCAGCUUUGGUGUUCACUGAUUCUGUGAUGAAUUUCCUGUAAUUUCUGUGUAGGAACAGAAAAGAGCAUAGAAGAUCCUUUUUUUGUUUUUUUUUUGUUUUUUGUUUUUUGUUUUUUUGUUAGGGAGUUUCACUCUGUGGCCCUGGCUGGAGUGCAGUGGCAAGAUCUUGGCUCACUGCAGCAUCUGCCUCCUGGGUUCCAGCAAUUCUCCUGCCUCAGCCUCCUGAGUAGCUUGGAUUACAGGCACAUGCCACCACACCCAGCUGAUUUUUGUAUUUUUAGUAGAGACGGGGUUUCACCAUGUUGGCUGGGCUGGUCUCGAACUCAUGACCUCAGGUGAUCCAACCGCCUCGGCCUCCCAAGGUGCUGGGAUUACAGGCGUGAGCUACCGCGCCUGGCCAGAACAUCCUUUUAAUUCUUAUCUGGAGACUUAAUCUAUAUGUUCAUAAUUAGUAUUACCAGUAAGGGCAGAAUGUUCCAAAGUAGGGUCUGACUGCAUUUUUAAACAAUGCAAUUUGCAGAGCUCCACUCUUCCACUCCUUAGUCUUAUGUGAAGGACACACUUGGACUAAAAUGGUUAUUGCUUUAUCAUAAUUUGGGGAUCUCUAUCAGAGAUGAUUUAGGCCAGAGUUUCUCACCCUCGGCACUAUCAGCAUUUUAAAUUAGAUUCUUCUCUGUGGCGGGGGCCGUCCUGCGUACUCUGGGAUGUUCAGCAGCAUCCCUAGUCCAUUUGGGCUGCUAUGACAAGAUACCAUUAACUGGGUGGUUUAUAAACAACAGAAAUUUAUUUCUCACAGUUCUGCAGGCUGAGAAGUUGAAGAUCAAGAUUCAGUGUCUGGUGAGGGCCUGUUUCCUGGUUCAUAGAUGGUGCCUUCUUGCUGCAUGUCUCCUGGUGGAAGGGCCGAAGCAGCUCACCAGGAACUCUUAUAAGGGCAAAUCCCAUUCAUGAGGCUCUGCCCUUACGACCUGAUUCCCUUCCUAAAAGCCCCACCUUCUAAUAUGGCACAUUGAUGAUCAGGUUUUAACAUAUGAAUUUUGGGGGAAUACAGCCAUUCAGACCAUAGUACCUGGGCCUCUGUUUAAUGGAUGUGACACCCUCUUCUCCCCACAGUCGUGAAAACUAUCUCCAGACAUUGCCAGAUGUGCCCUGGAGGGAAAAAAAAAUCACCCUAGUUGAGAACCACUGAUUUAGUUUUAAUUUAGGGUAUGUAUUUAAAAGGCAGAAAAAUAAGUAUAGAAUCAAACUUAAUUAAGCAAAUGCCUCUAAAAAACACUGAAUUUUAAAAGAGGUAAUAGUAAAAUUUGAAUUUGCAGAAAUGUAGGACUUGCUUUUAAAGCUCAUAUCUUAAGUACAUACUAACCACA
rnacentral:lncRNA from 10 species